UACAGAGGUCUCAAGCGUUGUUCGGAUUCAUUGGGCGUAAAGGGUGCGUAGGCGGCGCGGUAAGUCGGGUGUGAAAUCUCGGAGCUUAACUCCGAAACUGCAUUCGAUACUGCCGUGCUUGAGGACUGGAGAGGAGACUGGAAUUUACGGUGUAGCGGUGAAAUGCGUAGAUAUCGUAAGGAAGACCAGUGGCGAAGGCGGCGACCUGGACAGGUACUGACACUCAACUACGAAAGCGUGGGGAGCAAACAGG
rnacentral:rRNA from 1 species